CAAUAGCGUAUAUUAAAGUUGUUGCAGUUAAAAAGCUCGUAGUUGAACUUCAGACCUGGCCGGGCGGUCUACCUCGCGGUAUGUACUAUCUGGCCGGGUCUUACCUCUUGGUGAGCCGGUAUGCCCUUCACUGGGUGUGCCGGGGAACCAGGACCUUUACCUUGAGAAAAUUAGAGUGUUCAAAGCAGGCAUAUGCCCGAAUACAUUAGCAUGGAAUAAUAAAAUAGGACGUGCGGUUCUAUUUUGUUGGUUUCUAGAGUCGCCGUAAUGAUUAAUAGGGAUAGUUGGGGGCAUUCGUAUUCAGUUGCUAGAGGUGAAAUUCUUGGAUUUACUGAAGACGAACUAUUGCGAAAGCAUUUGCCAAGGAUGUUUUCAUUAA
rnacentral:rRNA from 1 species